AUCCCGUGGUGAGGGCAAGCCAAGAUGUACUCCUAGAGCCUCUCCCAUGCUUCAGGGAUUGACUCAUUGGAUGCCUGCUUGAAGCUCGAUAUUCUUCCACAAAGGGC